rnacentral:rRNA from 1 species
UAGUGGGGGAUAGCCCGGCGAAAGCCGGAUUAAUACCGCAUACGCUCUACGGAGGAAAGGGGGAUCUUAGGACCUCUCGCUACAGGGGCGGCCGAUGGCAGAUUAGCUAGUUGGUGGUAAAGGCCUACCAAGGCGACGAUCUGUAGCUGGUCUGAGAGGACGACCAGCCACACUGACUGAGACACGGCCCAGACUCCUACGGGAGGCAGCAGUGGGGAAUUUUGGACAAUGGGCAAGCCUGAUCCAGCAAUGCCGCGUGUGUGAAGAAGGCCUUCGGGUUGUAAAGCACUUGUCCGGAAAGAAAACGUCGUGGUUAAUACCCGUGGCGGAUGACGGUACCGGAAGAAUGCACCGGCUAACUACGUGCCAGCAGCCGCGGUAAUACGUAGGGUGCAAGCGUUAAUCGAUUACUGGGCGUAAAGCGUGCGCAGGCGGUCCGCUAAGACAGAUGUGAAAUCCCCGGGUAACCUGGGAACUGCAUUUGUGACUGGCGGGCUAGAGUAUGGCAGAGGGGGGUAGAAUCACGUGUAGCAGUGAAAUGCGUAGAGAUGUGGAGGAAUACCGAUGGCGAAGGCAGCCCUGGGCCAAUACUGACGCUCAUGCACGAAAGCGUGGGGAGCAAACAGGAUUAGAUACCCGUAGUCCACGCCCUAAACGAUGUCAACUAGUUGUCGGGUCUUCAUUGACUUGGUAACG